AGCAAUUUGAAGCAAGGUGAUACACCAUGUGAAAGGGUCAGCCAAUGUUCAACCGAUAGCCAUUGCAAUGCGGUAGAAAGUUCGAAUUUUAAAUCAAAGUCAACAAAAUCUAUUGUCGGACAGCCGUGUCACAGGAGGCCACCGGUUCCCAAACUUGCGAGCCCCUGGACCCACUUAAUUGGCGCGGAGGACUGUGCGCGGAAACGAGCUGCCAGGUGCGAGGACAGACAGGUGAAUAAACGGGCCCAGAAGAGGACAGCAGGUGUGUGCGACUGAUUAAAGACUGGAGGUGGAGAACACAGACACAAAGAAGGUGGAAUCAAUGCUGACAUGAUUUCGAUGCAGUUUUUGUGCUUUAAGCUGGUAGAUGAGCCACAAGAAUGUUGUCCCUGAGGAUAAAUUUGCAAGAUAUCCUGUACAGUUUCAUAAAUGAGGCCCCUGGUCUUUUUUUUUUUGAAAAAUGUGAUAUUCAAAUCCAAUGUAAUGAUUGUAAAUUCAUUGGUAUUCACAUGCCGGUGCCAAAUGGUCUCACUGUGAUGAAGUGUAACAUCUCUACACCACUGUGUUUGUUGCUAUAAAAAGACUUAAAGUCCUUACAAGGACGGUCAUUUCUCAAAAGGGCUUUCGCUUAUUUGGAACAGACAAGGAAGUAAAAAAAAAACUGAGAAAAUGGAAAUGAGAAGCAUUAAAACACUGAAAGAACAUGUUAAAAAUAAUUGUGAGUUUGGAGGAUAGAAAAGCACAAAUGUGUUAACAUACAGAUAAUGAAAUGAAGACAGGAAAGAACUACUGUAAAAUUACUUUGUUGGUUUUAUAAUGCUGCUGUAAGGUUGUCCUAUAAGGCACUUUGAUCCUAUGGCUUCAAAAUAAUAAUAAGAAUAAAAAUAACCCCACCACCAACAACAAUAACAUUAUUAUUAUUAUUAUUAUUAUUAUUAUUACCUGAGAAAAGGAAAGGCAUGGCAGGUUUACCUUAUGAAACAUAUGCACAUCACUCCCACAUUUUGUUGUUGAGCAGAGAGUGGUUUGACAUGAGAGAGAACAGCGCUCACGCACUGUUUACACAUCCAGAAACAAACUUUCACCUGCGUACCAAUGGUUUCAUCCAAGUAGCUUCACAAAGACAUGACAAAUAUCAACCUGGAUCAAAACACUGUCAAACAAGCACAGGUUUUGGAGCAGAAACAGGGUGCCAUAUAGUGCUCUGCUCUUUCUCAACUCAUCCGUGCCAAACAAAUUUUUUUUUUUUGCCUAGCACUACCAGAGUUUUGUGAAACGGAAACCCUUUUGUUCGCCUAGCUUCCUGCGCUCGCGAAUCCGUUCGGUUUUUUAUCGACUUCCAGCAGCUGUCCCCCCUCUCCUCUGGGAAAACCGGGCUCGGCGAGAAGACGACGGCCGCGGCGGACGUGCGGAAACAGCGGGGUGCCUCACGACGGCACGGAAGGGACCUUCAUUUAUCACGGGGGACGGCGCGGCUCACAGGGGCGUCCGCGGUCCGCUCCGACGCCCCCCCCUCUCUGAAUGCUAAUUCUGCACCCCGGUCUCUUACUGUACACCUGAAGAGCAGGGAGCGAUUAAAGGGUUGGGGUUCUGUUGCUUUUUAGAGCUACUUUGAAAAAAGGGUGAGAAAGAUGGAAAGCAUGUCUCUGUGUAGCUUCAGUGCGGCAACAGUAUUGCUUUAAAUAAAUGAUUAUUUACUGUGUGGGGAAAACUUGUGAAGCAGUGCUCUUGUGCUCUUGACUCGUCCAGACCUCUGUCAUUCUAAGAUCCCUGUCGCCUGCUCAACAUGGCCCCCCUUUCCCAUUUUAUGCAUAAUUUAUUGUUUUAUAGCACAGGCUGCAUAAAUAAUUUAUCAGUUUCCAUGUAUUUCAUAGUUAAAAAUCCAUGCAAAAAAAUAUAAAAAUUGUGCACUUAACUGGACAAACAUGUCACACUGAGUAAAAUAAAAAAGAAAAACAGGGUCUAGAUCGGAGUACUGGUCGGCACUAAGUGCAUUGGACAGCACAAAGAGAACUGCUCAAAAACCACAAAUGAGUGUUCUUCAAGAGGACACCGAGCAUAUGGAUCUGUGAGAGGAGUCUAUAGCUUUCCAUAGGAUCAGCAUUUUUAAAAGGGUAGAGCCUUGAUAGGCAUCCUAGAGCUUUCGCGAUUGGAAUGCAUUUAGAAGCAGCGUUAUCUGAGCCAAAGUGUCUAAUUACGUCCCUACGGAAUCGCUUAGAGAAAAUGCAAUCAUCAGGCAUUAAGAUCCUCUCUCAGACCCUUUGGAUUGAAAUAUGAACAUCCUUCACAUAAUGACUUAAAAAACUAAAAAUGACAAAGAAAACAAAACGAAAAAACUGCACUGAGAUUUUAAGCUUUAGAAACUGGAGGGUGUGGCUCUGGCAGGUUUAGCCACAGAUGGAUGACAUUGUCCUCCUGUUCAUGCAUCUGAUGGAAGCUGCUUUUCAGAAAUGCUGAAUAUUUUUUUGCCCUCCUCUCCUGAUGUUGUGCAAUGGAGUUGGAGCAGGGAGCAGAACAGAACAGAAUUCUAUUGGGAGAAAGUGAGUGCAAAUGCUAGAGUUUGCCAUCGGGAAGAGUGACUGAAUGGGUCUUUGGGGGAUGCUGGGAACUGCUUUCCUCUACGUGUUAAUAAAUGUGUUAUGAGGAAGGAGGUUGGGGUUGCCAUACUGAGACAGCUGGCACUGAGCUGCAAUACAUACUGUCGAAAUGUGAUACUGUACAUAUACAGUGCAAUGUGUAAGUAAAUGGACAGCGACACAUUUUUGUUGUUUUGGUUCUGUACUCUGGCACAUUAGACUUGACAAGAAACAAUGUAUAUGAGGUUAAAGUACAGACUGUCAGCUUUAAUUUGAGGGAAUUCACAUGCAGGCCGAGUGAUCCGUGUAGCAAUUACAGCCCUGUUUAUACAUAGUCCCCCCUGUUUGGGGGGGGUGCAUGGUUUGCAUUUUGCGGGGUAAUUGUCU